GAUGAACGCUGGCGGCGUGCCUAAUACAUGCAAGUAGAACGCUGAAGGAAGGAGCUUGCUCUUUCCGGAUGAGGUGCGCACGGGUGAGUAACGCGUAUGUAACCUGCCUGGUAGCGGGGUAUAACUAUGGGAAACGAGAUCUAAUACCGCAUAACAGUAGAUUGUGCAGGAGGGCUACUUAAAAGGUGCAAGUGCGCCACUACCAGAUGGACCUGCGUUGUAUUAGCUAGUUGGUGAGGUAACAGCUCACGAAGGCGGCGAUAGCUAGCAGACCUGAGAGGGCGAUCAGCCACACUGGGACUGAGACCCGGCACAGACGCCCUCGGGAGGCAGCCGUAGGGCAUCUUCGGCCAUGGGCGGAAGACAGAGCGCGAAACGCCGCGUGCGUGAAGAAGGUCGUCGGAUCGUAAAGGACGGUCGUCAGAGAAGAACGCGCGUGCGCGUGGAAAGUUCACACUGUGACGGUAACUUACCAGAAAGCGACGGCUAACUACGUG
rnacentral:rRNA from 1 species